rnacentral:rRNA from 1 species
GACGAACGCUGGCGGCGUGCUUAACACAUGCAAGUCGAACGAUGAAGCCCAGCUUGCUGGGUGGAAGAGUGGCGAACGGGUGAGUAACACGUGAGUAACCUGCCCUGAACUCUGGGAUAAGCACUGGAAACGGUGUCUAAUACUGGAUACGACCUAUCACCGCAUGGUGUGUGGGUGGAAAGAUUUAUCGGUUCUGGAUGGACUCGCGGCCUAUCAGCUAGAUGGUGAGGUGAUGGCUCACCAUGGCGACGACGGGUAGCCGGCCUGAGAGGGUGACCGGCCACACUGGGACUGAGACACGGCCCAGACUCCUACGGGAGGCAGCAGUGGGGAAUAUUGCACAAUGGGCGCAAGCCUGAUGCAGCAACGCCGCGUGAGGGAUGACGGCCUUCGGGUUGUAAACCUCUUUUAGUAGGGAAGAAGCGAAAGUGACGGUACCUGCAGAAAAAGCACCGGCUAACUACGUG